UACGUAGGGGGCAAGCGUUGUCCGGAAUCAUUGGGCGUAAAGCGCGUGUAGGCGGCUCAGUAAGUCCGCUCUGAAAGCCCGGGGCUUAACCCCGGGAGGCGGGUGGAUACUGCUGAGCUUGAGUCCGGAAGACGCGAGUGGAAUUCCCGGUGUAGCGGUGAAAUGCGCAGAUAUCGGGAGGAACACCAAUGGCGAAGGCAGCUCGCUGGGACGUGACUGACGCUGAGACGCGAAAGCGUGGGGAGCAAACAGG
rnacentral:rRNA from 1 species